rnacentral:rRNA from 1 species
AGUGAACGCUGGCGGUAGGCCUAACACAUGCCAGUCGAACGGCAGCACAGUAAGAGCUUGCUCUUACGGGUGGCGAGUGGCGGACGGGUGAAGAAUACAUCGGAAUCUACUUUUUCGUGGGGGAUAACGUAGGGAAACUUACGCUAAUACCGCAUACGACCUACGGGUGAAAGCAGGGGAUCUUCGGACCUUGCGCGAUUGAAUGAGCCGAUGUCGGAUUAGCUAGUUGGCGGGGUAAAGGCCCACCAAGGCGACGAUCCGUAGCUGGUCUGAGAGGAUGACCAGCCACACUGGAACUGAGAAACGGUCCAGACGCCUACGGGAGGCAGCAGUGGGGAAUAUUGGACAAUGGGCGAAAGCCUGAUCCAGCCAUACCGGGUGGGUGAAGAAGGCCUUCGGGUUGUAAAGCCCUUUUGUUGGGAAAGAAAAGCAGCAGGUUAAUACCCCGCUGUUCUGACGGUACCCAAAGAAUAAGCACCGGCUAACUUCGUG